rnacentral:rRNA from 1 species
UACAGAGGGUGCGAGCGUUAAUCGGAAUUACUGGGCGUAAAGCGUGCGCAGGCGGCUUUGCAAGACAGAUGUGAAAUCCCCGGGCUCAACCUGGGAACUGCAUUUGUGACUGUAGAGCUGGAGUACGGUAGGGGCAGAGGGAAUUUCCGGUGGAGCGGUGAAAUGCGUAGAGAUCGGAAAGAACACCAACGGCGAAAGCACUCUGCUGGGCCGACACUGACACUGAGAGACGAAAGCUAGGGGGAGCGAAUGGG